rnacentral:rRNA from 1 species
UACAGAGGGGGCAAGCGUUGUUCGGAAUUACUGGGCGUAAAGGGCGCGUAGGCGGCCUGUUAAGUCGAACGUGAAAUCUCAGGGCUCAACCCUGAAACUGCAUUCGAUACUGCCUUGCUCGAGGACUGGAGAGGAGAUUGGAAUUCACGGUGUAGCAGUGAAAUGCGUAGAUAUCGUGAGGAAGACCAGUGGCGAAGGCGGAUCUCUGGACAGUUCCUGACACUGAGGCACGAAGGCCAGGGGAGCAAACGGG